rnacentral:rRNA from 1 species
UACGUAGGGGGCAAGCGUUGUCCGGAUUUACUGGGCGUAAAGAGCGUGUAGGCGGCCAAGCAGGUCCGUUGUGAAAACUGGAGGCUUAACCUCCAGACGUCGACGGAAACCGCGUGGCUAGAGUCCGGAAGAGGAGAGUGGAAUUCCUGGUGUAGCGGUGAAUGCGCAGAUAUCAGGAAGAACACCAAUGGCGAAGGCAGCUCUCUGGGACGGUACUGACGCUGAGACGCGAAAGCGUGGGGAGCGAACAGG